CCAGGUGAUCCGUCCAGUCCCCAUCAACUGCUGGCCAUGGCAUCGCACCUACGAGAGAGUGCUGAACUCUUUCAGUCGGAUGAAAUGCGCCCCGCUAAUGACCCCAAGGAGAGAGCGCCCCUCCGGGUCCGGAUGUUGAAUGACAUUCUCCAAGAUGUGGAAAAAAGCUUCCUGGUGCCACAGGUACCCCCAGGCUUUUAUAGAAACAUCCUGUACCACCUUGAUGAGAAGACAAGCCAGUUUCCAGUACUCGCGGAGGCUUGGGAGCGCUGCAAGCUGCUCUCAUCCAAUGAGACCCUUCGGGAAGCCUUGUCAGAGGGGAAGAGUUCCACGAUGUUCCUGGAGCAUCUCCCCCGCUAUGGACAGAGCACAUGAACAGUUCUUCCUUCUUACAGAGUGUUGAUGACCUAGUUCCUGUCGUAGAAAUAGGACUAUUCUACAGGGUUUCAUCAUUUUUUUCUUUUUUGCCUUCCAUUCUUUUCUUGAAUAUGCAGUUCUCAUACUGGGCCAUUGUCCCAAGUUCUAACAUCAAGUAACAGCAUCUGUCUCAACUGCAGUGAUAAAGAGUUUUGUUUACUCAAAUUCACCCUAAAAAUGUUGUCAAUUAAGAAUCCGACAUAAAUGGAUCUCUGUUUGCGUGGUGUAGCAUAUUUGAUCAUUUAUUCAUCCGGACACCAUAUGUUAGUCUUCUCUAACCAGGCAUUGUAUUAGGUGCUCGGGACACAAUAAUGAUUAGCAGUUUUAUCUCCUAGGGUUUUACAGUCUAAUAGGAUACAGCACUUAGUUUUAACUAGCAGCAAUACCAGAUUCAGAGAUACCCGGAAAUAUUGUAACUUACGGCAGACAUUGACAGAACAAUGCUAGCAUAAAGGUACCAUAUGCUCAGACCACACAACUACCCCACUGGGCCUUCCUUAAGGCUUCAUAAAGCUGAAAAGUGUCCUCAGUCACUAGCCCUGCUGUCCAGUAGCUAGCAUGCCCCGGAGCCUACCUCCACGUCAGACUCCAGUUGCCAAGCAUUCGUAGAAUAGCCAAAGGGGUAGGUAUUCUCUUUCUGUCUCAUUUGGUAGAUGAGAAAACUGUCGAUUAGGGAAAUUAAUAACUUAGGACAGCUAUUGUAUCACUAUACACAUACAUAGACGAAAAUCUACAGGGUUUUAUAUAUUACUUAUCAUAAAAUUUUCUCGCACUGUUUCAUAACCAACACAAUGACUAGCCCCAAUAAGAGCACAAAAAGCGCGUGGUAUGCUUAUCGCUGUAAGUCUUAGCUCAGAGGCCUUUUUAGAUGAUAGGAAGGCAGAGACUGUAAAUAAUUAGAUCCCAUAAAAUUCAAGAACUAAUUCUCAGUGGAGGAAACAUUUACUUGAAUUUCAUUUCUUGAGAGAGAAAGAAAAAAGCCAAAGUAAAUAAACAGCGACAGAGGCACCCCCGUAGGACCUUCGCACUGCAGCCAGCCUGGGUUGACUCGUCCACGCCCAGCGUACACAGGGUGGCCCUGAGACUUGGCCUGGGACCUUCUCGUAGAGGUCCAGUUGCACGACCACUCACCAUCACCUGGCCCUGAGUAAUAUUUUGUUUUAGGAGUGUCUUGCUAUGCUAAGACCCUCCUGCCCCAGCCUUCAGGGUAGUGGCAACUACAGGCACCAGCCAUCAGCCCAGUUUGAGAAGGAAAUAAUUGGGUGAGUCUGGUAGUAAGCUGAGGUCCUUCUGGGGAAAACAGACGAUUGUAUUCCACAAAACAGGAUCAGUAGAUGCAAGUCACAUAGGCGUGGAAGGACAGGGCACUCCCUCACUUCUCUGCUUCAAAGUUUCUUUCACCUAACCUACAGCUAA